rnacentral:rRNA from 1 species
UACGAAGGGGGCUAGCGUUGCUCGGAAUCACUGGGCGUAAAGGGUGCGUAGGCGGGUCUUUAAGUCAGGGGUGAAAUCCUGGAGCUCAACUCCAGAACUGCCUUUGAUACUGAGGAUCUUGAGUACGGGAGAGGUGAGUGGAACUGCGAGUGUAGAGGUGAAAUUCGUAGAUAUUCGCAAGAACACCAGUGGCGAAGGCGGCUCACUGGCCCGU